UUGGGUUUAAAGUGCGCGUAGGCGGUCUGACAAGUCGGGGUGUGAAAGCCCCGGGGCUCAACUCGGGAAGUGCAUCCGAAACUGUCGGACUUGAGUACGGGAGGGGGAAGUGGAAUUCCUGGUGUAGGGGGUGAAAUCCGUAGAUAUCAGGAGGAACACCGGUGGCGAAGGCGACUUCCUGGACCGAUACUGACGCUGAGGCGCGAAAGCGUGGGGAGCAAACAGGAUUAGAUACCCGAGUA
rnacentral:rRNA from 1 species